rnacentral:rRNA from 1 species
GAUGAACGCUAGCGAUAGGCUUAACACAUGCAAGUCGAGGGGCAGCACAAGGUAGCUUGCUAUCUGGGUGGCGACCGGCGCACGGGUGCGUAACGCGUAUGCAACUUGCCCUAUACAGGAGGAUAACCCGUCGAAAGACGGACUAAUACUGCGUAUGCUCACAACUUGGCAUCAAGUGGUGAGGAAAGAAGUUCGGUAUAGGAUAGGCAUGCGUCCCAUUAGCUUGUUGGUGAGGUAACGGCUUACCAAGGCAACGAUGGGUAGGGGAACUGAGAGGUUUAUCCCCCACACUGGUACUGAGACACGGACCAGACUCCUACGGGAGGCAGCAGUGAGGAAUAUUGGUCAAUGGGCGCGAGCCUGAACCAGCCAAGUCGCGUGAAGGAUGACUGUCUUAUGGAUUGUAAACUUCUUUUAUACGGGAAUAACAAGAGUCACGUGUGACUCCCUGCAUGUACCGUAUGAAUAAGCAUCGGCUAACUCCGUG